rnacentral:rRNA from 1 species
UCUACGACUCUCGGCAACGGAUAUCUCGGCUCUCGCAUCGAUGAAGAACGUAGCGAAAUGCGAUACUUGGUGUGAAUUGCAGAAUCCCGUGAACCAUCGAGUCUUUGAACGCAAGUUGCGCCCAAGGCCUUUCGGUUGAGGGCACGCCUGCCUGGGCGUCACGCC